rnacentral:rRNA from 1 species
UCCCUAGAUGUUCUGGGCCGCACGCGCGCUACACUGAACAGUUCAACAAGUCUUAACCUUGGCCGAUAGGUCUGGGUAAUCUUUGAACGCUGUUCGUGAUUGGGAUAGACCUUUGCAAUUAUGGGUCUUCAACGAGGAAUUCCUAGUAAACGCAAGUCAUCAGCUUGCAUUGAUUACGUCCCGGCCCUUUGUACACACCGCCCGUCGCACCUACCGAUUGAAUGGUCCGGUGAAAUCUCGGGACGGCGGCUUGGUCGCUUGCGUCCGACUGCUGAAACUUGAUUAAACCAUAUCAUUUAGAGGAAGGUGAAGUCGUAACA